rnacentral:rRNA from 1 species
GAUGAACGCUGGCGGCGUGCCUAAUACAUGCAAGUCGAGCGAAUGGAUUAAGAGCUUGCUCUUAUGAAGUUAGCGGCGGACGGGUGAGUAACACGUGGGUAACCUGCCCAUAAGACUGGGAUAACUCCGGGAAACCGGGGCUAAUACCGGAUAAUAUUUUGAACUGCAUGGUUCAAAAUUGAAAGGCGGCUUCGGCUGUCACUUAUGGAUGGACCCGCGUCGCAUUAGCUAGUUGGUGAGGUAACGGCUCACCAAGGCAACGAUGCGUAGCCGACCUGAGAGGGUGAUCGGCCACACUGGGACUGAGACACGGCCCAGAAUCAUACGGGAGGCAGCAGUAGGGAAUCUUCCGCAAUGGACGAAAGUCUGACGGAGCAACGCCGAGUGAGUGAUGAAGGCUUUCGGGUCGUAAAACUCUGUUGUUAGGGAAGGACAAGUGCUAGUUGAAUAAGCUGGCACCUUGACGGUACCUAACCAGAAAGCCACGGCUAACUACGUGCCAGCCGCCGCAGUAA